GGAUUGUGGCUCAGAGGUAGAGCACUCCUCUAGCACAUGAGAGGCCCUGGGUUCGAUCCUCAGCACCA
rnacentral:tRNA from 1 species